AGAGUUUGAUCAUGGCUCAGGACGAACGCUGGCGGCGUGCUUAACACAUGCAAGUCGAGCGGAAAGGCCCUUCGGGGUACUCGAGCGGCGAACGGGUGAGUAACACGUGAGUAACCUGCCCUUGGCUCUGGGAUAAGCCCGGGAAACUGGGUCUAAUACCGGAUAUGACCCUCCACCGCAUGGUGUGAGGGUGGAAAGUUUUUCGGCUGAGGAUGGACUCGCGGUCUAUCAGCUUGUUGGUGGGGUGAUGGCCUACCAAGGCGACGACGGAUAGCCGGCCUGAGAGGGUGACCGGCCACACUGGGACUGAGACACGGCCCAGACUCCUACGGGAGGCAGCAGUGGGGAAUAUUGCGCAAUGGGCGGAAGCCUGACGCAGCGACGCCGCGUGGGGGAUGAAGGCCUUCGGGUUGUAAACCUCUUUCACCACCGACGAAGCUAACGUGACGGUAGGUGGGGAAGAAGCGCCGGCUAACUACGUGCCAGCAGCCGCGGUAAUACGUAGGGCGCAAGCGUUGUCCGGAAUUAUUGGGCGUAAAGAGCUCGUAGGUGGUCUGUCACGUCUGCCGUGAAAACCCGAGGCUUAACCUCGGGCCUGCGGUGGAUACGGGCAGACUAGAGGUAGGUAGGGGAGAACGGAAUUCCCGGUGUAGCGGUGAAAUGCGCAGAUAUCGGGAGGAACACCGGUGGCGAAGGCGGUUCUCUGGGCCUUACCUGACGCUGAGGAGCGAAAGCGUGGGGAGCGAACAGGAUUAGAUACCCUAGUAGUCC
rnacentral:rRNA from 1 species